rnacentral:rRNA from 1 species
GCCAGACUCCUACGGGAGGCAGCAGUGGGGAAUAUUGCACAAUGGGGGGAACCCUGAUGCAGCGACGCCGCGUGGGCGAGGAAGUAUUUCGGUAUGUAAAGCCCUAUCGGCAGGGAAGAAGAAAUGACGGUACCUGACUAAGAAGCCCCGGCUAACUACGUGCCAGCAGCCGCGGGAAUACGUAGGGGGCAAGCGUUAUCCGGAUUUACUGGGUGUAAAGGGGGCGCAGACGGCAGCGCAAGCCAGGAGUGAAAGCCCGCGGCCCAACCGCGGGACUGCAUUGGGAACUGGCGCGCUGGAGUGCCGGAGGGGUAGGCGGAAUUCCUAGUGUAGCGGUGAAAUGCGUAGAUAUUAGGAGGAACACCAGUGGCGAAGGCGGCCUACUGGACGGUGACUGACGCUGAGGCUCGAAAGCGUGGGGAGCAAACAGGAUUAGAUACCCCGGUA